UGGGGGAUAUUGCACAAUGGGCGAAAGCCUGAUGCAGCGACGCCGCGUGGGGGAUGAAGGCCUUCGGGUUGUAAACUUCUUUUGCUCUGAACAAGACAUGCCUUUGGGGUGUGUUGAGUGUAGGGGUUGAUUAGCGCCGGCUAACUACGUGCCAGCAGCCGCGGUAAUACGUAGGGCGCGAGCGUUGUCCGGAAUUAUUGGGCGUAAAGGGCUUGUAGGUGGCUGGUUGCGUCUGUCGUGAAAGCUCAUGGCUUAACUGUGGGUUUGCGGUGGGUACGGGCUGGCUUGAGUGCAGUAGGGGAGGCUGGAAUUCCUGGUGUAGCGGUGGAAUGCGCAGAUAUCAGGAGGAAUACCGGUGGCGAAGGCGGGUCUCUGGGCUGUUACUGACGCUGAGGAGCGAAAGCGUGGGGAGCGAACAGG
rnacentral:rRNA from 1 species